GGAGCAUCCCCCAAAAGGAUCAGUCAUUCACAAGCAGCGAUGGGGAGAAGUUCACCACUUUAUCAUCAACUGUUGCUGGCAGCAACAUGUUCACUCAUGACCGCAGUUGUCUCCACAGAGAGAGCUACCACCUGUGGCAGCGACGGCAGGAAUGUCCAGCGCCUGAGCUGUGAUGAAGGGCAGGUUAUAUCUGUCUAUGGUGCUGAUUAUGGACGCCGCAACCAGAGCACAUGCACCUACACAGACACCUACUUCUGAGAUCCAAAAAAACGUUUCUGACAGAUCCUUCCAUCACUCCAGAGUAGGCUAAAUGUAGCCUAAUGAAAUUACAAUAAGAUCACAAUAAACA